CCUACGGGAGGCAGCAGUGAGGAAUAUUGGUCAAUGGGCGUAAGCCUGAACCAGCCAAGUCGCGUGAGGGAUGAAGGUUCUAUGGAUCGUAAACCUCUUUUAUAAGGGAAUAAAGUGUGGGACGUGUCCUAUUUUGUAUGUACCUUAUGAAUAAAGCUCGGCUAACUCCGUGCCCGCAGCCGCGGUUAUACGGAGGAUCCGAGCGUUAUCCGGAUUUAUUGGGGUUAAAGGGUGCGUAGGCGGCCUUUUAAGUCAGCGGGGAAAGUGUGUGGCUCAACCAUAGAAUGGCCGUUGAAACUGGGGGGCUUGAGUGUGUGUGAGGCAGGCGGAAUGCGUGGUGUAGCGGUGAAAUGCUUAGAUAUCACGCAGAACCCCGAUUGCGAAGGCAGCCUUCCGGCGCCCUACUGACGCUGAGGCACGAAAGUGUGGGGAUCGAACAGGAUUAGAUACCCCAGUAGUC
rnacentral:rRNA from 1 species